rnacentral:rRNA from 1 species
UGAAGAAGGCCUUCGGGUUGUAAAGCACUUUCAGCGAGGAGGAAGGUGGUGAGCUUAAUACGUUCAUCAAUUGACGUUACUCGCAGAAGAAGCACCGGCUAACUCCGUGCCAGCAGCCGCGGUAAUACGGAGGGUGCAAGCGUUAAUCGGAAUUACUGGGCGUAAAGCGCACGCAGGCGGUUUGUUAAGUCAGAUGUGAAAUCCCCGGGCUCAACCUGGGAACUGCAUUUGAAACUGGCAAGCUAGAGUCUCGUAGAGGGGGGUAGAAUUCCAGGU